AAUGAACGUUGGCGGCGUGGAUUAGGCAUGCAAGUCGAGCGAGAACCCAGCAAUGGGGGACAGCGGCGCAAGGGACAGUAAUGUGUAGAUCAUCUGCCCUCAGGUCCGGGAUAGCUGCGGGAAACUGCAGGUAAUACCGGAUAACAUCUCCGGAUCAAAGGUGUGAUUCCGCCUGAGGAUGAGUCUACAUCCUAUUAGCUAGUUGGUAGGGUAACGGCCUACCAAGGCGAUGAUGGGUAGCGGGUGUGAGAGCACGACCCGCGUCAUUGGGACUGAGACACUGCCCAGACACCUACGGGUGGCUGCAGUCGAGAAUCUUCGGCAAUGGGCGCAAGCCUGACCGAGCGACGCCGCGUGUGGGAUGAAGGCCUUCGGGUUGUAAACCACUGUCAGAGGGGAUGAAAUGCAGGUGGGUUCUCCCAUCUGUUUGACAUAGCCUCAGAGGAAGGACGGGCUAAGUUCGUGCCAGCCGCCGCGGUAACAC
rnacentral:rRNA from 1 species